rnacentral:rRNA from 1 species
UACGUAGGGUGCGAGCGUUAAUCGGAAUUACUGGGCGUAAAGCGUGCGCAGGCGGUUUUGUAAGCCAGAUGUGAAAUCCCCGGGCUUAACCUGGGAAUGGCAUUUGGGACUGCAAGGCUUGAGUGCGGCAGAGGAGACUGGAAUUCCUGGUGUAGCAGUGAAAUGCGUAGAUAUCAGGAGGAACACCGAUGGCGAAGGCAGGUCUCUGGGCUGACACUGACGCUCAUGCACGAAAGCGUGGGGAGCAGACAGG